rnacentral:rRNA from 1 species
GCUCAGAACGAACGCUGGCGGCAGGCUUAACACAUGCAAGUCGAGCGCCCCGCAAGGGGAGCGGCAGACGGGUGAGUAACGCGUGGGAAUYUACCCUUUUYUACGGAAUAACGCAGGGAAACUUGUGCUAAUACCGUAUGAGCCCUUCGGGGGAAAGAUUUAUCGGGAAAGGAUGAGCCCGCGUUGGAUUAGCUAGUUGGUGGGGUAAAGGCCUACCAAGGCGACGAUCCAUAGCUGGUCUGAGAGGAUGAUCAGCCACAUUGGGACUGAGACACGGCCCAAACUCCUACGGGAGGCAGCAGUGGGGAAUAUUGGACAAUGGGCGCAAGCCUGAUCCAGCCAUGCCGCGUGAGUGAKGAAGGCCCUAGGGUUGUAAAGCUCUUUCACCGG